AAUGGGCGGAAGCCUGAUCCAGCCAUCCCGCGUGCAGGAUGAAGGCCCUAGUGGUUGUAAACUGCUUUUAUUUGGGAAGAAAUCUGCGCUUUUAAGUGCAGUUGACGGUACCUUAUGAAUAAGCACCGGCUAACUCCGUGCCAGCAGCCGCGGUAAUACGGAGGGUGCAAGCGUUAUCCGGAAUCACUGGGUUUAAAGGGUGCGUAGGCGGCCUGACAAGUCAGGGGUGAAAUGUCGUCGCUUAACGAUGAAAUUGCCUUUGAUACUGUUAGGCUUGAAACAGGUUGAGGUUGGCAGAAUGUGGCAUGUAGCGGUGAAAUGCAUAGAUAUGCCAUAGAAUACCGAUUGCGUAGGCAGCUGGCUGGACCUGGAUUGACGCUGAGGCACGAAAGCGUGGGGAGCAAA
rnacentral:rRNA from 1 species